UCGUAAGCAAAGUAGAUGUACCCCACAC
rnacentral:piRNA from 1 species